rnacentral:tRNA from 1 species
UGAUGGUCCAGUAGUUAGGACUCUAUAUUUUCACUGUGGUGGCCCAGGUUCAAUCCCUGGUCA